CGCGGCGCCACCCCCCCACCCCAGCCGCCGCGCCUGAUUCCGGGGGUCUUCCGCGCCCGCAGGAUCCUUGCUACCUGAUUGACAGAAUUGUCCUCCCUGACUUUUGAUUGCUUACACCUCUGAUGGUGACCCCUGUUUCUGGUCACAUCUAAAAUUCCUCUGUCUUGCAGACUAAGGCAUUUGCAUAGGAAUCAGAGGAGCUAAUCUUAUAUGCAAGUUCUUUUCUUGCAGGCUGUGGUCCUUCAGAUCCAGAAAGACCCCUUGUCCAUC